rnacentral:rRNA from 1 species
CCCCUAGUUGAUAAAUACUCUAGCAAGAUGAAAGGUUGGAAGCCGAAGAUGUUGGCUGCUGCUGGGCGUUUGACUCUAACAAACUCAGUUCUCAUGGCUCUUCCAAUCCACUUCAUGUUAGUACUCCCACUACCUGUGUGGGCGAUUAAGAUUAUUGAGAGGAUAUGCCAAGGUUUUGUCUGGAAAGGCGAGGAUGACAUCAACGGGGGCCAUUGUUUACUGCCUUGGACACGGGUUUGUAGGCCCAAGGAGUUGGGUGGCCUCGGUUUGCCUAACCUCGGAUUUUUUUUUUUUUGGGCUGGCAUUGCGAUGCCAAUGACCUUGGCUCAGAUGGGCGACGGAGGAAAGGCCCUGGCACAGCUUGCCGGACACCACGGAGAAGGAAGUAGCGGCAAUGUUUAA